GACGAACGCUGGCGGCGUGCUUAACACAUGCAAGUCGAACGGAAAGGCCCUGCUUUUGUGGGGUGCUCGAGUGGCGAACGGGCGAGUAACACGUGAGUAACCUGCCCUUGACUUUGGGAUAACUUCAGGAAACUGGGGCUAAUACCGGAUAGGAGCUCCUGCUGCAUGGUGGGGGUUGGAAAGUUUCGGCGGUUGGGGAUGGACUCGCGGCUUAUCAGCUUGUUGGUGGGGUAGUGGCUUACCAAGGCUUUGACGGGUAGCCGGCCUGAGAGGGUGACCGGCCACAUUGGGACUGAGAUACGGCCCAGACUCCUACGGGAGGCAGCAGUGGGGAAUAUUGCACAAUGGGCGGAGGCCUGAUGCAGCAACGCCGCGUGCGGGAUGACGGCCUUCGGGUUGUAAACCGCUUUCGCCUGUGACGAAGCGUGAGUGACGGUAAUGGGUAAAGAAGCACCAGCUAACUACGUG
rnacentral:rRNA from 1 species